CAAGUGACCCCGGUCUAACCACCGGGAUGCUCAUAACCCUUUGUUGUCCGACUCUGUUGCCUCCGGGGCGACCCUGCCUUCGGGCGGGGGCUCCGGGUGGACACUUCAAACUCUUGCGUAACUUUGCAGUCUGAGUAAACUUAAUUAAUAAAUUA
rnacentral:misc_RNA from 2 species